rfam:Pseudomonas putida strain TASWS0946 Contig146, whole genome shotgun sequence.
UGUAAUGGCGGCUGUGCGUGGGAGACCUUCGGGUCUGCCGAGUUCCUUUUGCCUCGGUCCGCGAACCCGCGUACAGCUGCCACCCCA